AGAGGACCUGCACCACCACAACCAGCAACUCCACCCAAAACACCACCACCACAACCAGCACCAACUCCAACAUCUCAAGCAACUCCACCCAAAACAGCAUGCACUUCAGCUCCAGGUUGUCCAUCUGAUGUGGAGAGCAUCCUCUAUCCAUUUUCCCCAGAGGCAGCCAUCAGACUCAGCAUCUUCUCCAUGGUGCUGAUUAUACCUGCACUCAUUGGAACUGUUCAUUUAGUGAGGAGGAGGAAGCAGACAAGUAGAGAUGACCCCCCAGCCAUGGAACUCCAGGUGCUGAACUAACUGGAUGACCUCAAGAGAGUCAUGAUGUCAUUAUCCAUGCCCCUUUUACAGUUUAUAGGCUACAUGCAAAUGAUUUCCAUCUUUAUGUUAAUAUGUUCAAUUGUUUUAGGGGAAGAACACGGAUUAUUUGGGUCGUUCUCUGAUCUCGUUUCUUCUAUUCUGCUCUUGUCUUUGACUGGCUAGACUCUGCCCUGCCUACUCACCUCUUCUGGAGGAGGCCUGGCU